rnacentral:rRNA from 1 species
ACGAAGGGGGCUAGCGUUGCUCGGAAUCACUGGGCGUAAAGGGUGCGUAGGUGGGUCUUUAAGUCAGAGGUGAAAUCCUGGAGCUCAACUCCAGAACUGCCUUUGAUACUGAGGGUCUUGAGUUCGGGAGAGGUGAGUGGAACUGCGAGUGUAGAGGUGAAAUUCGUAGAUAUUCGCAAGAACACCAGUGGCGAAGGCGGCUCACUGGCCCGAUACUGACACUGAGGCACGAAAGCGUGGGGAGCAAACAG